rnacentral:rRNA from 1 species
GGGAUCAACGCUGGCGGCGUGCCUAAUGCAUGCAAGUUGAACGGUACCUUCGGGUACAGUGGCGAACGGGUGAGGAACACGUGGAUGACCGACCCUCGAGUGGGGAAUAACUGCCUGAAAGGGUAGCUAAUACCGCAUACGUUCCCAGAGGUGCCGGCCUUAGGGAAGAAAGCCUUCGGGCGCUCGUGGACGGGUCUGCGGCCGAUUAGCUAGUUGGUGGGUCACGGCCUACCAAGGCGACGAUCGGUAGCUGGUCUGAGAGGACGGCCAGCCACACGGGGACUGGGACACGGCCCCGACUCCUACGGGAGGCAGCAGCAAGGAAUAUUGGGCAAGUGGCCGAAAGGCUGACCCAGCGACGCCGCGUGGGGGAUGAAGGCCUUCGGGUACGUAACCCUUUAUCAGGACGAAGAUGACGGUACCUGAUGAAGAACGCCCCGCUAACCUACGUUCGACCGAGCGAGCCCGAC